UUUUAUUUGAGAGUUUGAUCCUGGCUCAGGAUGAACGCUGGCGGCGUGCCUAACACAUGCAAGUUGAGCGAUUUACUUCGGUAAAGAGCGGCGGACGGGUGAGUAACGCGUGGGUAACCUACCCUGUACACACGGAUAACAUACCGAAAGGUAUGCUAAUACGGGAUAAUAUAUUUGAGAGGCAUCUCUUAAAUAUCAAAGGUGAGCCAGUACAGGAUGGACCCGCGUCUGAUUAGCUAGUUGGUAAGGUAACGGCUUACCAAGGCGACGAUCAGUAGCCGACCUGAGAGGGUGAUCGGCCACAUUGGAACUGAGACACGGUCCAAACUCCUACGGGAGGCAGCAG
rnacentral:rRNA from 1 species